rnacentral:rRNA from 1 species
CACGUAGGAGGCAAACGUUAUCCGGAUUUACUGGGCGUAAAGCGCGUGUAGGUGGUUCUGUAAGUAGGGCGUGAAAGCUCCUGGCUCAACUGGGAGAGGCCGUUCUAAACUGCAGAGCUAGAGGAUGGUAGAGGAAGGUGGAAUUCCGGGUGUAGCGGUGGAAUGCGCAGAUAUCCGGAGGAACACCAGUGGCGAAAGCGGCCUUCUGGACCACUCCUGACACUCAGACGCGAAAGCUAGGGUAGCAAACGGG